UACAGUCUGUCAGAGAUAGAUAGUUGCUAUGCGGUUGCUAGGGUUUCUGGGGGGUUGCUAAGGCAUUACUAUCCAGUUGCUAUUUACUUGGGGUGGUUGCUAGGGUGUUGCUAUGUUUUGAAUACAAAAUAGACUGAAUUUAACAGAUAACAUUUAUGUCAGUUUAAUUGUUUUUAUAACAACAUACACAAAUCAUAACUUGAUUUUUGCAAGAAUUGUAAACCAAUGCUCUACGGUUAACAGUGAUUUUUGAUGUUUCCUCCUGCUCAUGUUUUAUGAACCCGUUCUGCAUGAUGUCAUGAAAGUCUUUCAGCAUAAUGUAUAUUACAAAGGCAGAGAGGAAACAAUUAUUUGUGUUAUUAUAUUAAAGUUCCUAAACAUUUUUAUAUUUUUCUUUACCACAGAAGCUCUGUCAGUUACGUUGAGACUGAUGAAUCCCCAAUCUUCCACAAUCGACUUCACAUAGGAUGAACUGUUUCCAGUUUCAGCAAAGCAGCAAGGAUGACUACACCUUAGAACUCUUCACUAACACUGCCUGCCUCACCUGGGCCACAGAGAAAACAAUGUUACUGCCUGUAAAUGGCACAAUUAACCUUUAACCUUACAGAUGAAUCAAUGCAGUAACACUGUUAUAUACCAUUGACAUUGUACCAAAUAUUCAGACUGAAUAUACAGAGGAGAACUGGUCCCCAGUGUUUUUGCACUGUUGCCUUUGGCUUGCUUGCUGUAUGUAUGAAGACUAAAGCAUUUAUCCCCAACUAUUAAAACCAUAGGUAUGUCUUUCUGUAAAGAUUUUUUGAAAUGUUAUGUAUUUUGAAAAAUGUAUAAAUGUCUUACAUUGAUUGUGUGCAUAUUUUUUGAACAUUUAUAUGUAAAAAAAUCUGUUUAUUAAUAUAAUUAUUAUAUUAUAAUUGAAAGUUAUACUUAUAUAACAAUUAUAAACUAUUUAGCUGUAUUUUUAGUUACUUUCAGUGCACAAACAACGAUUAUUCACUUUCUAUACUUAAUGGUAUAAAUAUAAUGGGCAUACUGACAUACUUUAUGUAAAACGAGAAAUGUUUGAUUUCACAACCUAUAGCGUCGGCUAUAUAUUAGCCUAUAAAACAUGUAUUUUAAAAGACAUUAAUGGUCAUUAUAGCACAGUUCAAACAACAACAAUUAUAAACGAUUUUGCAGGAAUUGUAAUCAGGCGCUAAAAAUAAUACCCAUUAAAUGUUCGUUGAGCCAAUGGGAUCACUCUGGGUCCUGAGAAAUGACACCGGGACCGCGAUGCACGCUGGGAUUUGGAGUUUUCGGCUGAUUGUAUGCAAAACUCGCAUGCGGAAAGGUUUGAGCAUACACGUCUCGGAGAAUAUCAAUUUAAUAAUAAUUAUAUUACAAGUUAUGGUCCGAUGAGCACCGGCGUCAUGGAGAGUACAGGACACGCGUCUGGCCAUGUAGCAACUCCGGCUAGUGGAUUAGCACGCACGCGACCAAACACACAGACGGAUGAGAGAGAGGCUGGAGAGAUACAGGGAUACAGAUGAUGCUGAGGAGGCUGAGAUAUCCACUCCUGGAAAACAGAUCCUCCUCCUCACCAGUGGCAGAAUAGGAUGGUGGAUGGAUUAAUUCCACUGCAGCUCUCUCUGCCUCCUCAGAAAUUUUUAAUGGAGCUGUUCUAAACUUUAAUGUGGAUCUUCCCACAAGAAGACAGAGCCUCCCAUGUCUGUCGGACAAUGUGCAAUUUUUUAAAAUGUACGAUGCCCCCUCCUCAAAUUCAGGAUACGAGCCAUUUUUUUUGUGGUAAAUGGCCCUACUACCAUCUGUGAGGGCACAGACUGUUGAUGUGUGCUGUGUGUCAAUGGUAAUUUUAAACCCUCGGCGGACAAAUGAGCCAGCUUUUUGGAUUAGACGUGUCUGUAUACAUUUUAGCGCCAGCUUUUGAGGGGUGGAAUAUGGAUGCGCCAUUCUGAUGGUAAGAAAAAGGAAGUAAUAUCUUAGUAGCAUAAAAAAAUACAAUUUACUAUUAUUACUAUCUCUAAACAUAAAUACUGAGAAGAUGUCUUAAAGUCAACCAAAAAAUAUACUUACGAUGUUUUGAGGGGGGGUUUAGCUGCUGAUGACAAACAAAGCAAAGAGAAAUACAAAACAUUACUGAAUAUGAAUCAGAUAUUGCAUAUGUUUGUAUAAAUGUUUAAUAUAUACAUUUUUUCAAAACUUUAAA